AGGAAGAACAGUUAAGUUCACUGUAAAGCACCGCAUUAUGUCCGCUCUACGCUCUCUUCUGAUGGUGGUGGUGGCACUCCUGUCUCUGGUGUACGUGGCAGUGGCACUACCCUACCUUACUAACGGACAUGGUGGCAGAUUAGGACACGACGGAGGAUACGGGAUUGGACACGGUCCUCUCGGUAAUCUGGUCCAUGGGCCAGCUUACCGACCAUCAGAUCAUACUAUCACCCAUCACUAUGGAUAGAACAUGAUGCUGUCUUUAACCUGACAGUUGAUAUUGGUGCAUAAUGGGUGCCGGAGGGCGAAUGAAUGUCCACCUUCAACUCUUCUCAUAUCCAAAACAUUCCUUCUAUUCCUCAAGAUGAGGAAUUGAGACUGUGAUUAUAAAUAUAUUUUUGUAAUAAAAUUUUUGUUGUUAA
rnacentral:lncRNA from 1 species